rnacentral:ribozyme from 21 species
UUUUUCUUCUUUGACUUUGUCAUGCUAGUUUCUUUGCGUUUCUUGUUUACUCAAAUGAAGAUGGAAUGGGAAAACAAGAUGAAGGAAAAGGAGUAGGAGUGUGAAAAAAAAGAAGAAAAAAAAGAUCA